rnacentral:rRNA from 1 species
AUUGAACGCUGGCGGCAUGCCUUACACAUGCAAGUCGAACGGCAGCACGGGUGCUUGCCCCUGGUGGCGAGUGGCGAACGGGUGAGUAAUACAUCGGAACAUGUCCUGUAGUGGGGGAUAGCCCGGCGAAAGCCGGAUUAAUACCGCAUACGAUCUACGGAUGAAAGCGGGGGACCUUCGGGCCUCGCGCUAUAGGGUUGGCCGAUGGCUGAUUAGCUAGUUGGUGGGGUAAAGGCCUACCAAGGCGACGAUCAGUAGCUGGUCUGAGAGGACGACCAGCCACACUGGGACUGAGACACGGCCCAGACUCCUACGGGAGGCAGCAGUGGGGAAUUUUGGACAAUGGGCGAAAGCCUGAUCCAGCAAUGCCGCGUGUGUGAAGAAGGCCUUCGGGUUGUAAAGCACUUUUGUCCGGAAAGAAAUCCUUGACUCUAAUACAGUCGGGGGAUGACGGUACCGGAAGAAUAAGCACCGGCUAACUACGUG